ensembl:lncRNA
GCUUCCACUCUUAGAAGCUCAGCUGAAGGGAACGACAGGAAAAUCCGUCGCAGCUGACACCUGUUCAGAACCAAGCAUCCUGCAAGGCUCCUGUAAGGCCGGACCCCGCGGGCCAUGAUGGGCCGCCCCUCCUCUCCCUCCUGNNNNNNNGGGAAGUCCCUAUCGGAAGGAGCCUCGCAGAUCCCAGGACCGAUGACAGCACACUUCGGCAGCUAAAGCCGCCCCACCCCAGCCACGAAGAAGGACCUGUCAGCCUGUGAUGCCUGGGCGUGGCGACCUAUCUGACCCCCAUCCAUCUAGCCUGACCAUCCCUUGCAACGAACGUAUAAAAGCCACCCCCCACACGAUCUGGGCCACGGACUUCCUUGACCUGCCUCUUUCGGGUCUGGGAACCCCGCCCGGGAGCGCUUCGCCAUUACAGAGCCUGUUAGACACUGUUUGGGUGUCCUGGUCUUUUACCUAAUAUUUACAAUGUUGUGUUAGUUUCAGUUAUACAGCUAAGUGAGUCAGUUAUACAUAUAUCCACGCUUUUCUAGAUUCUUUUUCCAUAUCGGUCAUGACAGGGUACUGAGUAGAGUUCCCUGUGCUGUACAGAAGGUCGUUAUUCCUCAUCUAUUUUAUAUAUAGUACUGUGUACAUGUCAACCUCAGUCUUCCAAUUUAUCCCUCCCCUCCUUACCC